rnacentral:rRNA from 1 species
GAAUAUUGGACAAUGGGCGAAAGCCUGAUCCAGCAAUGCCGCGUGAGUGAUGAAGGCCUUAGGGUUGUAAAGCUCUUUUACCCGGGAUGAUAAUGACAGUACCGGGAGAAUAAGCUCAGGCUAACUCCGUGCCAGCAGCCGCGGUAAUACGGAGGGAGCUAGCGUUGUUCGGAAUUACUGGGCGUAAAGCGUACGUAGGCGGCUUUGUAAGUAAGAGGUGAAAGCCUGGAGCUCAACUCCAGAACUGCCUUUUAGACUGCAUCGCUUGAAUCCAGGAGAGGUGAGUGGAAUUCCGAGUGUAGAGGUGAAAUUCGUAGAUAUUCGGAAGAACACCAGUGGCGAAGGCGGCUCACUGGACUGGUAUUGACGCUGAGGUACGAAAGCGUGGGGAGCAAACAGG